rnacentral:rRNA from 1 species
UCUACGGGCGGCAGCAGUGAGGAAUAUUGGUCAAUGGCCGGAAGGCUGAACCAGCCAUGCCGCGUGAAGGUCAGUGCCCUAUGGGCGUUAAACUUCUUUUGUGCGGGAGCAAUAAUGGUCACGUGUGGCCAGACGAGAGUACCGUACGAAUAAGCAUCGGCUAAAUCCGUGCCAGCAGCCGCGGGAAUACGGGGGAUGCAAGCGUUAUCCGGAUUGAUUGGGUUUAAAGGGGGCGUAGGCUGUGAGGUAAGUCAGCGGUGAAAUGCCGCCGCUCAACGGGGUGAAGGGCCAUUGAUACUGCCUUGCUUGAAUGCGGAUGCCGUGGGAGGAAUGUGUGGUGUAGCGGUGAAAUGCAUAGAUAUCACACAGAACCCCGAUUGCGAAGGCAUCUCACGAGUCCGCGAUUGACGCUGAUGCACGAAAGCGUGGGUAUCAAACAGGAUUAGAUACCCCAGUAGUC